rnacentral:lncRNA from 1 species
GAAUCUUUUACCGGUAAAAGGAAGGUUGAGUUGCUCAAAAGCAAGCAUUGUGAUGAUGUGGCAUGCUUUAGAGAGCUUCUCAUAUCUAUUUAAAAUUUGUCCCACAAUUUAUUUUGUGUGUCCAUUCAUCCUCCAAAAUAAUUAUCUAUAUGUUACAAUAAUAAUGGCUCCCAAUAAUAAUGAAAGAAAGAAAAGAAAAAAAAGAUCAAAUUACAAAAGAACAAUGAAUAAAUAUACGCUCUUUCAUAUUUUACACUACCAAACAUAAAAUAUAAAUCAUGCAUGCGUAAAUAUGAUUUGCAAUUUGUAAAAUUUUACUUUAAAUAAAUAAACCAAAUAAAAAA